ensembl:lncRNA H2BC6-AS1 H2BC6 antisense RNA 1
AUAUACAUACAUACAUACACUGAAUCCUCACACGAAGAGCCCUACAGGCGUGAGAACAGUAAGGGAGAUGCAAGAAAGGUCUCCUUGGAGUUGGGAGGCGUAUUUACAGCUACUAGAGAAGGGGGAAGUGCCAGCUCCCCGAGAAGAAAGCAGGAGGAUGCUGAGAGACUAAAGCUGAAAUUUUCUGCCUGCUUCCUCACUCUUUUCGUUGGUUUCAGCCGUCUGAAAAACCCUUGUGAGAGGAGCAAAAAGGUCAAGGGAAGAUUGUUGCCUUGCUCUCAGUCUUCAAAAUUUUCGAUCCUCCGUUUUUUUUGUUUUGAGACGCAGUCUCGCUCUGUCGCCUAGGCUGGAGUGCAGCGGCGCGAUCUCGGUCACUGCAACCUCCGCCUCCCUGGUUCUAGCGAUUCUUCUGCCUCAGCCUCCUGAGUAGCUGGGACUACAGGCGCGUGCCACCACACCCGGCUAAUUUUUUUGUACUUUUGAUAGGGACGGGGUCUCACGGUGUUAGCCAGGAUGGUCUCUAUCUCCUGAACUCGUGAUCCGCCCGCCUCGGCCUCCCAAAGUGCUGGGAUUACAGGCGUGAGCCACCGCGCCCGGCCGGUCCUCUGUUUUUAAACUGUAAAGGACUCCAGCGGAUUGUUCGAAGUCUCCGAUAUCCCGCGAUCUGGUGGCCGCAGAAGAAAGAGGCCGAGUCGGCGGGGACUGGGAACCACCAGUUAGCGGCCUACGGGCAACCUCCCGGACGCGCGCGCCGGGCCGACGUUAAACAGAAAACAGUUGUUUGGUUUUGAAGAUAAUCAGUUACCCCUCUAGAGAGGUCUAACGGGCAAGGAACUGAGGCCUCCACCCAAAAGUCGGCUUGAACUUGCCAGAUAUGCGAGUGUGCCACCUUGGAAGGGAAUCCUCCAGCUACAGUCAAGGAUUCGGAUGAUUGCAGCCUAUGUUUACAGCUUGACUUCAACCUCAAGGAAGACCCGGAGCCAUAACCACCUAGCUAAAUCACUUCUGGAUUCCCGACUCACAGAAAUUAGUUUUGGGAUAAUUUGUUACACGGCAAUAGAUAACAUAAUAGACAUGGGGAGCCCCACAGUUAAGCUUAUAGAGCUACCAUAAUUUUUAUAAUGAAACUUGAUAAAGAUGGAGUUUCACUCUUGUUGCCCAGACUGGAGGACAAUUGCGUGAUCUUGGCUCAAUGCAACCUCUGCCUCCUGGGUUGAAGCGAUUCUCCUGCCUCAGCCUCCUGAGUAGUUGAGAUUACAGGUGCAUGCCACCAUGCCUGGAUGAUUUUUGUAUUUUUAGUAGAGAUGGGGUUUCACCAUAUUGGCCAGGCUGGUCUCGAACUCCUGAGCUCAGGUGAUCCGCCUGCCUCAGCCUCCCAAAGUGCUGGGAUUACAGGCGUGAGCCACUGUGCCUGGCCUCUUUUUCUUUUUUCAAAAAGACACUAGUCAAUUCGAGUCUGUUUUUUUUUUUUUUUGAGACAGAGUCUCAUUCUGUGGCCCAGGGUGGAGUGCAGUGGCACGAUCUUGGCUCACUGCAAACUCCACCUCCCGGGUUCACGCGAUUCUCCUGCCUCAUCCU